AAGUUCCGAUUUUUAUUGUGGCUAACUCGCAAAUCUGUUCAACAUGUCUCCUUUGCAGACUCUCCACUGUCAUUAGAAGCGUCUAGAUUUUUCGUGAAACUACUGCGUUUCAGGUUAGCAGCAAGCUAGCGGGCCGUUGCCAGCCAGGACCCAGAAAUACAGCAGCAUCAUCAUCAAUGGUGUGUCUACAACCCGGAGCCGUCACAUUUUCCUGUGUCCGCUCAAUGACCGAUCUCCUCAGCUCUCAUCACAGCUGCACAUGUAUGGCGUUUGCGAGGCUUGGAGGGGAGUUUUGCAAAGCCCAGCACCUGCUGCUUAUCGUGGACAAGUGAACAGGGUACACCAGCUAGGCGCAAACACUGCCAUUCACACACGCAGGUCCUCACUGCCAUCCUGUUCAACCCAUAUGAAGACAAGCCAACCUUCAGUCUGUCACCUGUCCUGGGGAGUAGGGGAGGCUUUGGCUUUGGCCGGGGGCUUCCUUUCUGCUCUUCUCCUUUCCUGCUUUUCCCUUCUUCUUCUGUUCUGACUCAUACAAGUCUUCUCUGAAUGGGCUAACAGAUUUAAAAGGAAGGAGGGAUAGAUCUUUUCCCGUCUUCAGUUUUUUUUCUUCAGGACUUUUGGAUGUCUGCUAGAUUUUAAUUUUUGUUUUCAACCGAGGCAGUUUUAGUCAGAAAAAGCUUUCAGUUUUUUCCCCCCUCAAGAUAAAGAAAUUUAUCUUGUCCUUUUUGUUUGUCAGACUACUUUUUGUUGCCAAAGGAGUAGAAUAUUUACAUUCUUUGCCCAUAAAUCAUAUUUUA